GAACUCCCGGACCGCGAGAUCGUGACCUGGCUGAAGUCGGACGCUUAACCGACUGCGCCACCCAGGCGCCCCUUGUUUGUUUGUUUUUACAUGAUAGAAAUCUCCUGUCCUACAAAACUUCUCUUCUGAGCUGGGUUUAUCUGGGAUGACAGUGGGUGUUACGGAUCUUGAUUCCUCCAGGUUCUUAGGGGCAUUUUCUUCAGACAGGAAUUCCAGAGGGAUCUCUACUUUUCGCCUCUGUUCUUUAGAUUCAAGAGACAUUCUGUGUGUUGACCUUUUAUUUUGAAGCUUUAUGAAAUCUGAAUGACAGGGUAUCAAUACAUUGAAACCCUGACUAUCUUAAACUCACUGUUCUCAGAUCCCACAGUCUAAAGCUUUAAAUUCCCAUGAACUGUUGCUUUUUCUGUUCUUCCAUAUCACUCUACAGUGAAACUGGAACUGGAACCAUCAAAGGGACUUCAUUCUUAGGCACAUUUUUUUUAAUGUUUUUAUUUAUUUUUGAAGGAGAGAGAGAGAGAGACAGAGCAUGAAUGCGGGAGGAGCAGAGAGAGAGGGGAGACACAGAAUCCGAAGCAGGCUCCAGGCUCUGAGCUGUCAGCACAGAGCCCAACGCAGGGCUUGAACCCAUAAACUGUGAGAUCAUGACCUGAGCCGAAGCCGGAGGCUCAACCGACUGAGCCACUCAGGUGCCCACACUUAGGCACAUUUUUACACAAUUUGACACAAGUGAGAGUUUCAUAUUUCGUUAUUUUGUUCUGUACUAAAAAGGAUCCUCUAAUAAUUGGGUCUUGGGUUUAGAUCGGCCAGCUAUCCUGGACUUUAAAUUCAUUUAUUCAUAGGUGUUUAUUGAACUUUCUUAACUUCAUCUUUAUUCCUUCAGUAGGUAUUUAAUGAGGUGCUCGAGGUAUAGCAUCUUUCCCUCAAAGACCACUGGGUAACUGGCUGGUCCACCUAAACUUGUAUUAGAUUUCAUUCAUUCUAAGGCCAUUGCUUUUUUUGUGUUUUCUUUUGUUUUAGACCGAGGAUGACUCCACACAUCUACUUAUUUCUGGUGGGAAAUGCAUUCCUUUUGACAAAGUCUGACUCUGAAAAUAGCCCUGCUUAUUAGUUGGCAGCUGUUGUUCCAGACCUUAUGCUUAUUUCAAGGGCUUUAGGUAUGGGGUGUAUAUCUUAGGUUGAGGUUUCUUCGUGAGCAAUAGGAAAAAUAUCCUUUGCUUAUACAAAACAUGUUUAUUAUGGCACUGGUGUGGCACCGUCCUCAAGACCACAGACUUUUUGGUGCUAGCUGUAGCUGGUCGACAUUUCCAAGGUUACCUCAUAGUCCAAGAUGGCUACUCUAGCUCCAGCCAUCAUCUCUGCAUCUCAGCCACCCAAAAGGUGAAAGGACAAAGAAAUAAGGUUAAAAGAUAACGCAGCAGACAUUCUUUAAGCAUUGUGUACCUAUUUUUCCAGCCAUGUCCUCAAUCUUUGCUACUUGUGAGUGCACUUUUUUUCUGAUAUCAAAGAGUAACUCUCUGUCAUCUCUCUAAAUACUUUAUGGUAAUGGAUCACACUCUUUAAUUCCAGAAGAUCCUGGCUGUGAAACGUGUUUAUCCAUAAAAGAAAGAGGAAAAGCGCAACACAACAUUACUGACUUUAAAAAUGCUUCUAAUGCAUCUUUAAAAAUGAACUCACAAAAUUAAAAGCAAAUAGAGAUAAAUGCUCCCAUUUUUUCCCCUGCACAUUGAAAAGCCUCCGAAAGUGUUGAUGGCUUUCUCCGUAUUCACGAAGGAGUACUUGAUUGCACCUGCAGGCCAACCCAGUGCUCUCUUUGGUUAAUGCUGUAUUUGUCACUGACAUCAUGUCUAAAUACCCCCUAGGACGCAGUGUAAGCCCGAGAUUGAGUUCAGUGGGACCAGAAGCAUCCCUGCGUGAGUGCCUUUGACAGCUCCUCGGCACGAUGCUGUUGGGUACCUCGGGCUGAGAACAGGCCUCAGUUCAGGUGGCACCCAUUUUAGCGGUCUUAUUUAUUGCCAGUGAAGCGCUCUGGCCAUGCCGUCUUCCAGCUGCACGUCUGUGGCCUAAUGUUUCUUGGGAGGUGCUGCCGGACCGCUUUGGAAGGCAGCAGUGAGCCAUUAGAAGUCAAUUGAGCUAGCCAUUUACUGCAGUAUCAUUUCCUUCCCAAGUUCUCGAAGCAUUUCCCAGUGUGCAUGGCAGGAUGCAGGAGGACGGCAGGGUUUGCAGGGGCCUCUUGAUACAGGUAGUCUGGAUCUUCCUGAAAGUGCACCGUCUACCGGGGCACUGGAAGUGUGCCACCGAUGCCUAGAGCCAGCUGAGUGAUGGUUGGCCGGGUCCCUGGGGAGAAGAGCUCUGGAACAAAACAAGACGAAAGCCAGGGAGGAAAGCCUGCUGCCCUCCAAGGGCCAAGGCCACGCUGGAGAGGAAGGUUCCCGCAGAGCGGUGCUCCUUCGUUCCUCCCUCCUCCCAAAUGCAGCAGUUGCAAGAGCGCCAGUGGCGUAGCGGCCCGGGGCCACCAGCCUGGGCCCUCCUGAGUCGGGGCCCCGUGCGUCAGUCCCCCACGCCGUGGAAACUUGGACUUUGCAAAGAGGGAAGGACCACAGCUGCCCAGUGGAGCGCCCAGCUCUUCCAGGCAUGCCAUGUUGUGAUCGAGAACAUUUUUUAAACUGUCAAGAAUUAAAGGCACAGUGCUGUCAUCCCUCC